CGGGAUAUAGCUCAGCUUGGUAGAGCACCUGCUUUGGGAGCAGGGGGUCGUAGGUUCAAAUCCUACUAUCCCGAC